AAUGCUGCGUAACUAGAGAUAACAACAAAAUCACCAGCGGUAGUGAAAACAAAGUGGCUCCCAACAAUGAUAAGAUAAAGCCUGCUCUUUUAUCCAAGUAUGGUCAGAGCCUACUGACAUGAAACAGCAAUAGCAGCAGAUUCCAAAAUUCUCCUAGCUUCCGUGUCUGGAUCUGGUAACUCACUUGGCUUCUUUCCAUAUGCGUUCGUUUUUGUAGCAGAAGCACCAGAAGCCAGCAGCAAUCUUAUAACAUCUGCAUGCUCACCUCUUGCUGCAUGGUGAAGAGGAGUAUCACCCUC
rnacentral:misc_RNA from 1 species